CCUGUUUCAUUUUUAUAAAUUAUAUAUAUUAUUUUUAAAUGUGAUGUAAACCGAAUUAUAUAAUCAUAAAUAGGUUGUCUGCUAUAUUUUGUGUCUAUUAAUUACAACAAUGGUUUAGGUUAAAGUAGUAUAGCUAUUAUUGACAAAAAAAGAUUACCACAGUGGCCUUGGUUCUUAACGGAGGUAACCGCCCCCUCCUGUCUCCAAUCCAUGUUCUCGCCAGUGUCACUGACAUUUUCAUGUCUAAACGACACCUUUUUGUGCGAACCUGACGAUGAAAUUCUUAGCAUAUCUUCAGGAACCACCAGCCCCAUGUACCUCGCCCGAAAUUCCUCGUCCGUGAGGUCAGAGAACUGACUGACAUCCAACGUAUUCAUCGGAGUAAACACGAUGGAAACGAGCCAUCCAUUGCUCAUGUUUCUCCGCAACAGCAGAAGCUUCAAAGAGUCCCCCACGAGAAGUGGCUCCUGAAGUUCUAGAACUCAAUAUAAUGGCUAGAAGCAAUAAAGUGAUCGAAGUCAUUCUUUUAGAGAGAAAUGUAUAAAAGGUUUUCUAAAUAUAAAUGUUUGGGUUUCAAGGAACGAGUAAGAAGGUGGCGUUAUAUAGAGAUUGCAAACUGUAAGGUCGCAUGUUUUUUCUUGAAUAUUCUGACGAUA